AUACGUAGGGGGCGAGCGUUAUCCGGAUUUAUUGGGCGUAAAGCGUGCGUAGGCGGUUUGUUAAGUUUAAGAUUAAAGCCCGGGGCUCAACUCCGGUUCGUCUUAAAAACUGGCAGACUUGAGUGCGGUAGAGGCAAACGGAAUUUCUAGUGUAGCGGUGAAAUGCGUAGAUAUUAGAAGGAACACCAGUGGCGAAGGCGGUUUGCUGGGCCGUUACUGACGCUGAGGCACGAAAGCGUGGGGAGCAAAUAGGAUUAGAUACCCUAGUAGUCCACGCCGUAAACGAUGAGUACUAAGUGUUGGGGUUUCCCAGUGCUGAAGCAAACGUAUUAAGUACUCCGCCUGAGUAGUACGGUCGCAAGGCUGAAACUCAAAUGAAUUGACGG
rnacentral:rRNA from 1 species